UACAGAGGUCUCAAGCGUUGUUCGGAUUCAUUGGGCGUAAAGGGUGCGUAGGUGGCGGGGUAAGUCAGGUGUGAAAUCUCGAGGCUCAACCUCGAAACUGCACUUGAUACUGCCUUGCUCGAGUACUGGAGAGGAGAUUGGAAUUUACGGUGUAGCAGUGAAAUGCGUAGAUAUCGUAAGGAAGACCAGUGGCGAAGGCGAAUCUCUGGACAGCUACUGACACUGAGGCACGAAGGCCAGGGGAGCAAACGGG
rnacentral:rRNA from 1 species